rnacentral:rRNA from 1 species
AUUGAACGCUGGCGGCAGGCCUAACACAUGCAAGUCGAGCGGAUGAAGGGAGCUUGCUCCUGGAUUCAGCGGCGGACGGGUGAGUAAUGCCUAGGAAUCUGCCUGGUAGUGGGGGAUAACGUCCGGAAACGGGCGCUAAUACCCCAUACGUCCUGAGGGAGACAGUGGGGGAUCUUCGGACCUCACGCUAUCAGAUGAGCCUAGGUCGGAUUAGCUAGUUGGUGGGGUAAAGGCCUACCAAGGCGACGAUCCGUAACUGGUCUGAGAGGAUGAUCAGUCACACUGGAACUGAGACACGGUCCAGACUCCUACGGGAGGCAGCAGUGGGGAAUAUUGGACAAUGGGCGAAAGCCUGAUCCAGCCAUGCCGCGUGUGUGAAGAAGGUCUUCGGAUUGUAAAGCACUUUAAGUUGGGAGGAAGGGCAGUAAGUUAAUACCUUGCUGUUUUGACGUUACCAACAGAAUAAGCACCGGCUAACUUCGU